rnacentral:misc_RNA from 1 species
GACAAGACGUCAACAAGGCAUGUGUGCCUGAUCAGAUUUAGAAUAGCAGUAUAUAGAUCGAGAUGCAUUGUAGCAGAUUAUGGCUGAUGUGAGCGUGAUAGUCCCUGUCUACAAUGGAGAGAAGUGGUUGUGUGAGUGUCUGGAGUCAGUAGAGCAGCAGACAUUCAGUGGCCGUCUCCAGCUGUCGAUGUAUGACGAUGGAAGCACGGAUGGUACAAGUGACCUGAUCGGGACAUGGAGACAGCGCUUGGAGCAUCACGGUAUAGAGGUGGUCACAGGUGGACAUACCGAUGCACAGCCCAGGGGAGUUGGCUAUGCAAAGAACAUGGCUGUCAGACAGAGUACAGGGGACUUCCUCUGUUUCCUGGAUGCAGAUGACGUGAUGCACUGUGACCGCAUCAGAAGUCAGAUUGAGGCUGCCAGGGCACACCCAAAUGCUAUAAUUGGCUGUUGCUUCCAUCGUACACCUGGAGACUCCACGCUCAGGUUCACCCGGUGGGCUAAUUCCCUGUCUCCGGACCAGCUGCCUCUACAGGUGUUCACAUCGCACGGACCAACUGUCAUCAUGCCAACAUGGUUUUGCUCCAGGAAAGUGUUCAACAAAGUCAGUGGCUUCGAUGAAGGUGGCAAGGGAGUUCCAGAGGACCUGAUGUUCUUCUACCGACACCUGGACCUGGAUGGGGACGUGGUGCGUGUGGACCGAGACCUGCUCACCUACAGAUACCACCCACAAGCCACAACAUUCUCUGUCCAUGAGGACACCAUCUGGAAUCUGAGAGUUGACUUCCUACAGAAACAGGUACUGUCUCAUUGGUCCAAAUUCACAAUCUGGAAUGCUGGGAAACAGGGGAGAAAACUCUUUCGUUCUCUUACACCUGAGAAUCAGAAGAAGGUGUGUGGCUUCUGUGAUGUGGAUGCAAAGAAGAUCAGUAAAGGAGUGUACAUCUACGAGGAGUCCAAGGAGCGUCCUAAACCCCGACUUCCCAUCAUGCAUUUCAGUACUGCCAUUCCACCGCUCAUCAUCUGUGUGAAACAGGACCUAACAAGUGGCAGUUUUGAGGAGAAUUUGGCCUCUCUGAAUCUUAUUGAGGGAACAGAAUAUGUCCACUUCAACUGAACCAAGGACCAUGUAGGCACCUUGGUGUCAGCGGCCUAGAACUGUCAGUGAGGGGAGGUGCACCUUGGUGUCAGUGGCCGAGAACUGUCAGUGAGGGGAGGUGCACCUUGGUGUCAGCGGCCUAGAACUGUCAGUGAGGGGAGGUGCACCUUGGUGUCAGUGGCCGAGAACUGUCAGUGAGGGGAGGUGCACCUUGGUGUCCGUGGCCGAGAACUGUCAGUGAGGGGAGGUGCACCUUAGUUUCAGCGGCCUAUCGGUCAUCAGACCUCAACGAACACAUGUGGAAAGAGUUGCAGACCACCCUCUCGCGAUGUCCUGUCCCUUCCAACAACUACAGAAACUUGGCAAUGCUCUUACUGAAAAUUUUAACAAUCUUGCCAAGGAUUGCCCACAAGCAUCUGGAGCAUGAUAAGAUGGUGCCAGGCUGUGAUUGCAUUGUGGAUCACAUACAUGCUACUGAGAGUUGAUUUAAAAAAUAAUAAUUUUAAAACGUAUCAGCUUUGGUCAGAUACUCUCAUUUUGACAGGUGAUCUGAUUAUUGGUCACAUGUUUGUUGGCACAUGACAACUGGCUAUUUUAACAGAUGUACACAAUUCAAUGUAUCAGCUAACUUAGUAUAGAUAAAAAAGGAACUUGUCAGUUUUGGAAUAUAUUCUAUGAAGACCAUUUCAGGUAAACCUUACUGGCAUUUGAACUGUUUGAUAGACAUUACUUGGAAGUUGACCGAAACGUCCCCUUGACAGUAAAUAAAGAAGUUAUCCAUACUUUGUCUUACUGGCAUUUGUUACAAUCAUUGUUAAACAAUAAACUGCCAUGUAACUGUUAAAUUAUUUAUGUCGAGAUUUGGUAGAUGCACGUCGCAUUGUGUUAUCUUUAGAUGCUAGUGUGGUGUGUAAAUACCGGUCCGUAUACCAUGGACGGUGAUAGUAUGUUAUAGAAACAUGUUAAGUUCUAGACGUGAGGGCACAUUAUAGAAACUUUACAUGAGUGUUUAUGAGUCUCUCACACUUUCAUGUGAGAAUCGCUUAUCUUGGA